CCUACGGGGGGCAGCAGUGAGGAAUAUUGGUCAAUGGACGAGAGGCUGAACCAGCCAAGUAGCGUGAGGGAAGACGGCCCUAUGGGUUGUAAACCUCUUUUGUCGGGGAGCAAAGCGAGGCACGUGUGGCUCUUUGCGAGUACCAGACGAAAAAGGAUCGGCUAAUUCCGUGCCAGCAGCCGCGGUAAUACGGAGGAUGCAAGCGUUGUCCGGAUUUAUUGGGUUUAAAGGGUGCGCAGGCGGGGGAGUAAGUGAGUGGUGAAAUUGCGAGGCUCAACGCCGGAAUGGCGUCGCAUAUGCGUUCC
rnacentral:rRNA from 1 species